rnacentral:rRNA from 1 species
AUGGCCUGCUCUUUAUGUUUCUUUGGAAACGUAUCAAUGACAAGAACACCAGCGAGCCCCAUAGAUCUGCCUGCUGCCUUCUUGUCUUCCCCCCAACCAUGCAUUGCAACUUUCAGAACUUUAGGAGUGAAGCAAGUGUUAAUUUUCCAGUCUGGAACCACCCCUAGAUCUUCAUACCUCCUUGUAGGAGAAACCUCUGCAACUAGACAUAUGCUGCUAGAUCCAGUUUCCCAAUCAGACAAGAACCUAUGCUUAGGCACCCUACUACUACUACCAAUCCGUCUUUCUGAUGACAUCUGCAAUAAAGUUCAUAGUCAAUAUAGUACCAAGUUUUCAGUUACUGUACAUGAUAGAUUGAAUCAAAUCACAUCAUCCCCCCUCCCCCAACCAUCUAUGGAAAUAAAGUACAAGCAAAAAGAAGAAAUCUCCCAUUUUUAUUUGCGAAAGCAACUAGUACAGAAACCAAAAAUGUCGACUUGGGAGGAAUCCAAGUGCAUAUACACCUAG